rnacentral:rRNA from 1 species
AAUGGGUCAGCGACUUAUAUUCUGUAGCAAGGUUAACCGUAUAGGGGAGCCGGAGGGAAACCGAGUCUUAACCGGGCGUUAAGUUGCAGGGUAUAGACCCGAAACCCGGUGAUCUAGCCAUGGGCAGGUUGAAGGUUGGGUAACACUAACUGGAGGACCGAACCGACUAAUGUUGAAAAAUUAGCGGAUGACCUGUGGCUGGGGGUGAAAGGCCAAUCAAACCGGGAGAUAGCUGGUUCUCCCCGAAAGCU